AUGUCCUGAACGGAAAGAUCCCUUUGGGAACUCCUCAGGAGGGGGACCUAGGCCAGAGGCUCCUCUAGCAUCUCACUGGCGAUUCCAAGGCCCAGGGUGGGCUUG
rfam:Equus caballus chromosome 24, whole genome shotgun sequence.